GCCGAUAUAGUUCAGUGGCAGAACACUACUUUCGUAAAGUAGGAACGUGGGUCCGAUUCCCACUUUCGGCUCCA
rnacentral:tRNA from 1 species